UCCGAAACAUAUUAUUAGUGAAUAUUAUAACAUAUUUUUUAAUUAUUAUGAAUGUAGAUAUGUCAUCUAAUCGUCGACGAAAUACAAAUCCUUCCAGACGAGCAAAUCCAAGUGAAAUUACAACUCCUCCUACAGAAACAACAGUACGGAACAAAGACAAGUACAAAUGGUCGCACAUCCAA